rnacentral:rRNA from 1 species
GAUACCCUAUUAUUAUAAAUGUGAAAUAUAAGCUUAAAUUAUUAUGAGUUAAGAUCUUUAAAAUUAAAGAAUUUGGCGGUAUUUUAGUCUGUUCAGAGGAACCUGUUUUUUAAUUGAUAGUCCACGAUAAUUUCUACCUUAGCUUUAAAUUUACAUAUCGUCGUUAAUAAAAAUUUUAGGAGGAUUAUAAUUUUUGGAAUUUUAAAUUUGAGAUUAAUUCAGAUCAAGGUGUAGUUUAUGUUAAGGUUAAAAUGGGUUACAUUAUAUUUAUAUGUAGUUUUAGAUUUUAAAAUUUUAAAUAAAAUGGAUUUGAUAGUAAAUUUCUUUUUUAUGGAAAUUGAUUUAGCUCUAAAAUAUGCACACAUCGCC